rnacentral:rRNA from 1 species
UUGAACGCUGGCGGCAUGCCUUACACAUGCAAGUCGAACGGUAGAGUAGCAAUACUCGAGAGUGGCGAACGGGUGAGUAAUAUAUCGGAACGUGCCCAGUCGUGGGGGAUAACGUAGAGAAAUUUACGCUAAUACCGCAUACGAUCUAAGGAUGAAAGCGGGGGACUCGCAAGGGCCUCGCGCGAUUGGAGCGGCUGAUAUCAGAUUAGGUUGUUGGUGAGGUAAAAGCUCACCAAGCCGACGAUCUGUAGCUGGUUUGAGAGGAUGAGCAGCCACACUGGGACUGAGACACGGCCCAGACUCCUACGGGAGGCAGCAGUGGGGAAUUUUGGACAAUGGGGGCAACCCUGAUCCAGCCAUGCCGCGUGCAGGAUGAAGGCCUUCGGGUUGUAAACUGCUUUUGUACGGAACGAAAAGAUCUCUUCUAAUAAAGGGGAUUCAUGACGGUACCGUAAGAAUAAGCACCGGCUAACUACGU